GAUGAACGCUGGCGGCGUGCCUAAUACAUGCAAGUCGAGCGACGCGGUGACGGGUGAGUAACACGUGAAUAACCUCCUAUAAAACUGGGAUAACUUCGUGAACCCGGAGCUAAACCUGAUACUUAUCGAUGGAUCCGCGUUUCAUUACCUAGUUGGUAAGGUAACGGCUUACCAAGGCAACGAUGCGUAGCCGACCUGAGAGGUUGUGCAGCCACAAUGGCACUGAGACAACGUCCUGACUCCCACGGGAGGCAGGAGUACGGAAUCUUCCGCAAUGGGCGCAAGCCUACCGGUGCAAAGCGGCGUGAGUGAGGAAGGUCUUUGGAUCGGAAGACUCUGUUAUUCGGGAAGCGGUACCUAAACAGAAAGCCACGGCUAACUACGUGCCAGCAGCCGCGGUACUAC
rnacentral:rRNA from 1 species